rnacentral:rRNA from 1 species
UGGGGAAUAUUGCACAAUGGGCGCAAGCCUGAUGCAGCCAUGCCGCGUGUAUGAAGAAGGCCUUCGGGUUGUAAAGUACUUUCAGCGGGGAGGAAGGUGUUGAGGUUAAUAACCUCAGCAAUUGACGUUACCCGCAGAAGAAGCACCGGCUAACUCCGUGCCAGCAGCCGCGGUAAUACGGAGGGUGCAAGCGUUAAUCGUAAUUACUGGGCGUAAAGCGCACGCAGGCGGUCUGUCAAGUCGGAUGUGAAAUCCCCGGGCUCAACCUGGGAACUGCAUUCGAAACUGGCAGGCUAGAGUCUUGUAGAGGGGGGUAGAAUUCCAGGUGUAGCGGUGAAAUGCGUAGAGAUCUGGAGGAAUACCGGUGGCGAAGGCGGCCCCCUGGACAAAGACUGACGCUCAGGUGCGAAAGCGUGGGGAGCAAACA